GCUUCCACUGAUGUAAACCACCCUGAUGAUGCUGGUUAUUAUGUUAAUAAUGAAAAACAAGAACAUGUGGAAACA
rnacentral:snoRNA from 1 species